rnacentral:rRNA from 1 species
GGGGAAUUUUCCGCAAUGGGCGCAAGCCUGACGGAGCAAUACCGCGUGAGGGAGGAAGGCUCUUGGGUCGUAAACCUCUUUUCUCAGGGAAGAACAAAAUGACGGUACCUGAGGAAUCAGCAUCGGCUAACUCCGUGCCAGCAGCCGCGGUAAUACGGAGGAUGCAAGCGUUAUCCGGAAUGAUUGGGCGUAAAGCGUCCGUAGGUGGUUCUGUAAGUCUGUGGUUAAAGCGUGGGGCUCAACCCCAUAAGGGCCAUGGAAACUACAAGACUUGAGUGAAGUAGGGGUAGAGGGAAUUCCCAGUGUAGCGGUGAAAUGCGUAGAGAUUGGGAAGAACACCGGUGGCGAAAGCGCUCUGCUGGACUUAAACUGACACUGAGGGACGAAAGCUAGGGGAGCGAAAGGGAUUAGAUACCCCUGUAGUCCUAGCCGUAAACGAUGGAUACUAGGUGUUGCCCGUAUCGACCCGGGCAGUGCCGUAGCUAACGCGUUAAGUAUCC